rnacentral:rRNA from 1 species
AGCAUAUCAAUAAGCGGAGGAAAAGAAACUAACAAGGAUUCCCCUAGUAACGGCGAGUGAAGCGGGAAUAGCUCAAAUUUGAAAUCUCGCAGGGUUACCUGUGCGAAUUGUAGUUUAUAGAAACGUUUUCGGGGGUGGCUCUGGCAUAAGUCCUUUGGAAUAAGGCAUCAUAGAGGGUGAGAAUCCCGUUUAUGGUCAGGUGUCCGCUCCUAUGUGAUACGUUUUCCAAGAGUCGGUUUGUUUGGGAAUGCAGACCAAAAUGGGUGGUAAAUACCAUCUAAAGCUAAAUAUUGGCGAGAGACCGAUAGCGAACAAGUACCGUGAGGGAAAGAUGAAAAGAACUUUGAAAAGAGAGUUAAAAGUACGUGAAAUUGUCAAAAGGGAAACGCUUGAAACCAGUAUUGCGUUCAGGUAAUCAGCCGUUCCUUCUGGGUCGGUGCACUUGCCUGUUUGCGGGUCAACAUCAGUUUGGUUCGGGAUAAAAAGCCUUGAGAAGGUAGCCCCUCGGGGUGUUAUAGCUCAAGGUCAUGUCUCGGGCUGGACUGAGGUCUGCAGUGUUAUUUGGGUAGCCAGUCGCCUCUUGAAACCUUGUUGCAGACAGCAUGCUGACUGUAGCGUGGUCUAGGGAGCACGGUUGGGAUUCCACACCAACACUUAGGAUGUUGACGAAAUGGUUUCAAACGACCC